rnacentral:rRNA from 1 species
AGUGAACGCUGGCGGUAGGCCUAACACAUGCAAGUCGAACGGCAGCACAGUAAGAGCUUGCUCUUACGGGUGGCGAGUGGCGGACGGGUGAGGAAUACAUCGGAAUCUACUUUUUCGUGGGGGAUAACGUAGGGAAACUUACGCUAAUACCGCAUACGACCUACGGGUGAAAGCAGGGGAUCUUCGGACCUUGCGCGAUUGAAUGAGCCGAUGUCGGAUUAGCUAGUUGGCGGGGUAAAGGCCCACCAAGGCGACGAUCCGUAGCUGGUCUGAGAGGAUGAUCAGGCACACUGGAACUGAGACACGGUCCCGACUCCUACGGGAGGGAGCCGGGGGGAAUAUUUGACAAUGGGCGCAAGCCUGAUCCAGCCAUACCGCGUGGGUGAAGAAGGCCUUCGGGUUGUAAAGCCCUUUUGUUGGGAAAGAAAAGCAGCAGGUUAAUACCCCGCUGUUCUGACGGUACCCAAAGAAUAAGCACCGGCUAACUUCGUG